CUCAUUUCUCCCUCCUCUCGCUCUCAUUUUCCGAUUUUCGGCGCCCUAAAAUCUCCCCAAUCCUCUCUCCCCCUCCCGAGCUCUGCUCCAUCUUCUCAUUUGCAGAAAGAUCUUAAUCUGUCCUCGUUCGACACCGGAUUUCUCCAGUUUUCAGCUUCUCCACAAGUUGCAGGGCAUUGAAGAAAUGUUGGAGCAUAGUCAAGGAACCACUCCUUCAUAUACUUUUAACAAUAUGGAAAACCGGAUUAUGGUGAUAUGUUUGACGCCCAAGAGGGGUUUUUUCAUGUUCUCACCACCUCUGUUAGCAAUGGCUUCAAUGGUGUCAAUUCUGGUUGGAGCAGUGCUUUUAGUGAUCUUAUUUCAGAUCUGUACAGUCAAGCUGAGCAGAUAUCCACUGUAAAUUCUACUUGACAACCCACUGCAAAUGAAUUUAGUUCGACUCAGUUGGGCCUGAAUUCAGAUUUAGUAAUGGUGAUGAUGAUUUGGAUGAAAAUGACUGGGAAUUCAAGGAUGCCUUCUCAGAAGACACAGUUGGAAAUGGGAAUCCUGAAUUUGAGAUUGUAGAUGCACAUCAAAACUUUUCUGCUGAACUAAAGCUAAAGAAUUUUGUAGGUUUCUACUCUAGAUUGAAAGAUGAAGCAUGAUUUUUCAUACUUGACCAUCUUGAUGAUCUCAAGAAAGCCAAGAAGGAUGCUGCUCUUUCUAGUGAUGAAGUAAAGGUUAUGUGGCCUUUGAUGAGGAAAUUCAGCCAAUGGAGAUAUAUGUGGAUGAUGAGGCCAAGUUGACCCUGCAUGGUCUCGUACAGCAUUGCAUUAAACUGAGCGAGUUGGAGAAAAACUGCAAGUUGAAUGACCUCCUAGAUGCAUCGGAUUUUAAUCAAGUCGUCAUUUUCGUUAAAAGUGUGAGCAGAGCAGCUAAGCUGAACAAUCAUGGAGUGUAAUUUCCCAUCUAUCUGCAUCCAUUCUGGAAUGUCCCAGGAGGAAAGGUUGGUAAACGUCUUUGGGAUGCACAUUGAUUUGCUUGCAAGUGCUUUAUUUUGUACCUGCACAGGUCCUCACAUUUUCUCUGAUUUGGAAGGUUAACACUUUGUUCAGUUGCACUGUUGUAGUGAAUUGCAAUAAUGAGUUCAAUCAAGUGGAAAUCGACUAAAUUUCAAAUACCUUAGUAUUCAUAACGAAGAAAUAGCCCUCAAAUUUGCAUUC